UUGGUGGUUCAGUGGUAGAAUUCUCGC
rnacentral:piRNA from 10 species